rnacentral:snRNA from 1 species
CUAAUACACAUUGUUAGG